UAGAGCAAUUAAGCAGUAUAAAGAGCCUCUAUAGAGCCCUUCACACAUUAAACUGGGGGCUGAAGCUGAAGGAGAGGCCUGGAAAUGUUGAAGAUGGCUGCUAUGGGCAGUGAGAUGACGAUUCCAGACACAAGAGUUGGAAAAGGACUGGUCAAUACUCACAAAACUUAAAGCAAUUCUAUUUUUCCAUUUCACCAGGACAUUUUCCUUAUAAUUUUGUUCAAAGUUGCACAUGACGCUAGUGCAUAGUACACAUGACCCCUAUCUCUAAUGAAAAUCCAUUUCCUUCUUCAUAUUUUUCAGUCAAAACCUCUAGGAAAAGGAACUUUCUCAACAUGGCAGAGAUGUUUUACUAUUUCAGAAGACAAACUGUAGAAAGAAGUGACAAAGUUGUGGAAGAGGGAGAAAAGAAAGAACUGCAGAAAGAGAAGGUAUCAGGAAACCUCUCUGGAGACGAUCAAGACAUCUCCUCAGGCUCCAUGGUGGCCAUGGUAGUUAGAAGUGAUCCAGAGAAGAGUAGAAGUGAAGAGAGCUCUGAGGAACAGUUCAUCUUGGCACCCGAGUUUGUCCCAGGACAUAUGGAACACUUGGAAGAUGCCCUCAUGUGUCCUGAACUGCCAACUGACUACAAGACUUAUGCCAGUGACUAUAACAGCAGUGAUGACAGUGAGGGUGACCAUUCUAUGCCUCCCCAGAAACAACUGCAGAAAGAAAAUGAAUCGGCACAGCUAUCUGAAGACAUGUCCUCAGGCUCCACGUUGGCCAUCGAUGACGCAAUGGUAGUUAGUAGUGAUCCAGAGAAGAAUGGAAGUGAAGAGAGCUCCGAGGAAGGAUUCAUCUUGGCACCCGAGUUUGUCCCGGGACAUAUGGAACACUUGGAAGAUGCCUUGAUGUGUCCUGACCUCCCAACUGUCUACCACACGUAUGCCAGUGACUACAGCAGCAGUGAUGACAGUGAAGGUGACCAUUCUAAUGAUGGCUACAAGAACCACGGCAGCAGCAGUGAUCAAAGUGACAAUCACUGCCAUGAGGCUGACGGCAGUGAUGUCUGCAACAAUGACAAUGAAACAAGAAAUGGACCCUGGUGACUUGCACCUUCACAUCCUCCAGAGUAAGGUAGAAUACAACUACACAAAGGUGGUUGAAGGAAAUGGAAAAUCUGUAGAAAGGAAAGAGGAGCAGGAAGAAGAGCACAAAGAGUCCAAAGCAAGAAGUCGAUGGAAAGAUCGGGAAGAUUCACCCUCAGGCUUCACUUUGGUUGAUGACAUCUCCAUGUCUACUUUAAGAGACCCAGAAAUAGGUGCUACAAAUGAACAGAGUUUUAAUGAAGACAUCUUUGACGUUCAUGAUAAUCUUCUCUUAAUUCCCAGUCCGGCUCUUGUUGAAAGAGUGAAACCUGAGCCCUGUGCCAGAUGCUGUCCAUGUUUUUGCUUUCCUUGCUUUCCCUGUUUUCAUAGAGUUUGGAAAUGGCUGGUGACAAUUUUCAAUGUGAGCAAGAAAGCGCAGGUAGCCAAUGGGCACUCAGAUUCUAGAGCCCGCCAGUGAUUUGCAAUGAUGCUAUCAAGGAGUUGAUGGUGACAACUAUUUGCACAUUGAUUUCUGGGGUUUUCCUUGAAUUCUCUUCCCCUUUUUAUUUUCUUUUUCCCAAGUGGCUAGCUGGGAAGAAGCCAGGUCUUGACACUAGGGAAGCCAGCUUCUCCCUUUUUGAGGUCACUUUUAAGAGGACUAUAACUACAUGUUCAGACCCACCUCCAAACAAUAAUAGUAAAUGUAACAAUUACACAGAAAAACUCAUUCUCAAUGAAUGCCAAUUUGAAGAUACAGGAGGUUACUAAGUUUUGCUGACAUUUCCCUUUCAUCCUUUUUGUAACAGUCAUUUUUAAUUUGAAAUGCUUGUCUGGGAGGGGAUGCUGGAAGAAUUCUGGUGACGGAGAAAAACAUUUCAAUAAAAUCUAUUUUUGCACACUAUCUUUGUAUGUGGUUACUGCUUCAGUGUUUUCUAUGUGUUUCUGACAGUAUUCGAAAUAGGUAUGGUCAGUCUGUAUUAAUUUGGAAGUUAUUCCAAAGUAUUGAUACUAUAUUAACAUUCAUUUGUACAUAUGGCUUUACUUACAUAAUUUUGAUCCCUUGUUGAGAC
ensembl:lncRNA